UAAGACAACCACAUUCACAGGUCAGUUUUC
rnacentral:piRNA from 1 species